rnacentral:tRNA from 1 species
UCACCGACAUAGUUCAGUUGGGAGAGCGUUAGACUAUAGAUCGAAAGCUCCCUGGUUCAAUUCAGCAGGGAA